rnacentral:lncRNA from 1 species
GCAACAACAACUUCAACUCCCCGGUCGCAUCCACCGCCAUCAACAACAACACGAUGUUCAACAACAACAACAACAACAACAGCAACACGAUGUUCGGCGGCAACAACAACAACAACAACACGAAUUUGUUCGGCGGCAACAACAACACCUCCGGCACGAAUUUGUUCGGCAACAACACCAACACCAACACGUUGGGUUCCACGCCGACGAGUUGGCCGGGAACGACCACGACGCCGCUCGUGUCGACACCCACUCCGGGACCCAACCCCUUCGGCCCGACCCCCGCGACGAACGCGUCUUCGCCGUGGCCCGCGCCCCAGCCGUCCACGCCGGGCGGCAGCUUCGCCUUCAACCCCCAGGCGCAGACGACGCCCGCGCCUGCUCCCGCCGCGCCGGCGAGUCAGAACAUGUUCUCGUUCCCCCAGGCGCAAACCGGGGCCCCGGCUACC